rnacentral:rRNA from 1 species
UGCCAGCAGCCGCGGUAAUACGGAGGGUGCAAGCGUUAAUCGGAAUUAUUGGGCGUAAAGGGCGCGCAGGCGGUCUUGUCCGUCAGGUGUGAAAGCUCGGGGCUCAACCCCGGAAGUGCACUUGAAACAGCAAGACUUGAAUAUGGUAGAGGAGAGAGGAAUUCCUGGUGUAGAGGUAAAAUUCGUAGAUAUCAGGAGGAACACCGAUGGCGAAGGCAUCUCUUUGGGUCGAUAUUGACGCUGAGGCGCGAAGGCGUGGGUAGCGAACGGGAUUAGAUA